rnacentral:lncRNA from 1 species
AGGAAUUGCAUGGAGGAGAGUCGAGGCUCGUGGAUGGAAGAGAUGGUGGAAAUUCGAGAAUUUAUGAAGAAUUACAUGAAAGAUGGAGGAAUUUUAGAGAUUGGGCUUGAAGAUAAUUGUUCCAAAUUUAAUUAAGUCCAAAACUCAUAUUUUUAAGUAUUUUGGGUUUGAUUUUAUUAAGGGCCGAAGCCCGUAGGGAAUAGAGAGGCGGUGGCUUAA